rnacentral:rRNA from 1 species
UGGCUCAGGACGAACGCUGGCGGCGUGCCUAAUGCAUGCAAGUCGUACGCAGGGAGCGUGCUCCGCUGCGUGGCGCACGGCUGAGGAACACGUGGGUACCAACCCCAAAGUGGGGGAUACCCCAUCGAAAGAUGGGACAAUCCCGCAUACGCUCGGCAACGAGGAAAGCGGCAACGCGCUUUGGGACGGGCCUGCGGCCCAUCAGGUAGUUGGUGUGGUAACGGCGCACCAAGCCACUGACGGGUUCCUGGUCUGAGAGGACGACCAGGCAGACUGGGACUGAGACACGGCCCAGACUCCUACGGGAGGCAGCAGCAAGGAAUUUUCCCCAAUGGGCUCACGCCUGAGGGAGCAACGCCGCGUGCAGGACGACGGCCUUCGGGGUUGUAAACUGCUUUUGGGGUGGGGACGAUGAUGACGGGUACCGCCCGAAGAAGCCCCCGGGCUAACUCCGUGCCAGCCGCCGCCGUAAC